rnacentral:lncRNA from 1 species
AUGAGUACUCGGAGUCCAGGAACCUCAGUAUGUAAGGUAUGCUGAGGCGGAGUCGUGUCAUUCCCGGCUAUUGCAUGUCUGCGGAAGUAACUGCUCUGUGCCCGGUUUCAGAAAACGCAAAGAGGGAGCCACCUGCCUCUUGCUGGAGGCUCUCGUUGGAGUUGGUCGUCAUCGAGACUGGAGUUCGGCCAGAGUUGUAGAAAUGCUGCAGGGUAGGUGUGCAAUCCGGGCAGCCAUGGAGUGCAGGUUGGGUGUGCUGUUGGGGCUGCACUGCCGGUGAUUGCAUUGUCCUGGCUACAGUGCCCCGCAACACAGGGGUGCUAUUCAGGGUUGCAUUUCAGGCAGUGGAGCGGGUUGGCUGCGUUUUGGGGGCUACGCUGACCGCGGUAUGGAAGGGGGUGGGUUGCGUCUGCUGUUGUGCACUGCCAGCGGCAGGCGGAUGAGUUGGGUGAACUCUCCAGGCUUCAGUACUGGUUGGCAGGGAAGAGGGGGUCAUGCUGUCAUGUGCUGCACUGCCUGUGAAGAGGGAGGUGCGCUAUUCGGGGCUUCACUGCCUGCCCAGGGGAGAGGGCGGUUGGAGGCAGGUGCUGCAAUGCUCAUGGCAGGGAUAGGUCACGGUGCCAUUGGGGGCUGCACUGCUGGCAGCGGUGGGCAGCAGAGGUGGCAGCGAACAGCGUGGCCUCUAAAGAAAGGGCUGUUCUCUUCCUGGACUCCAGACUCUAGAGGGCGACCUCCUCUUGCUGUGGUAGAGCCUGGCAGUCGCACAGCGUUUUCUCGGGAAUCCGGAACACAGCAGGGUCCCUACACCUGCCUUGGUUCCCAGAAACUUGCUCUGUUUCCCAGGCUGGAGAGCAGUGGCACAAUCUCAGCUCAUUGCAACCUCUGCCUCCUGAGUUCAAGUGAUUCUCCUGCCUCAGCCUCCUGAGUAGCUAGGAUUACAGGCAUAUACCACCACACUCAGCUAAUUUUUGUGUUUUUAGUAGAGACAUGGUUUCACCAUGUUAGCCAGGUUGGUCUUGAACUCCUGACCUUAAAUGAUCUGCCCACCUUGGCCUCCUAAAGUAUUGGGAUUAUAGGCAUGAGCCACUGUGCCCAGCCUAGUGAUACACUUCCUACAGUCAUUUGUCAUUUGAAACAAAUUGGAAAGGUGAAAAAGCUUGGUAAGUGGGUGCCUCAGGAGCUGACUGAAAAUUUUUUUUUAAAUCGCCAUUUUGAAGUGUCGUUCUUUUUCAUUCUAUCCAACAAUGAUGAAUCAUUUCUUGAUUGGAUCGAGACAUGGCGAAAAGUGAAUUUUAUACGACAACCAGUGAUGAGCAGCUCAGUGGUUGGACCAAGAAGACGCUCCAAGGCACUUCCCAAAGCGAAACUUGCACCAAAAAAGGUCAUGGUCACUGUUGGAUGAUUAUCUGCUGGUCUGAUCCACUGCAGCUUUCUGAAUCCCAGUGAAACCAUUACAUCUGAGAAGUAUUCUCACCAAAUUGAUGAGAUGCACUGAGAACUCCCAGUGCCUGCAGCCAGCAUUGGUCAGCAGAAAGAGCCCAAUUCUCCUUGACAGCACCUAACCACACAUCACACAAAUACUUCAAAAGUUGAAUGAAUUGGGUAACAAAGUUUUGCUUCAUCUGCCAUAUUCACCUGACCUCUUGCCAACUGACUACCACUUCUUCAAGCAUCUUGACAGUUUUUUUGCAGGGAAAACACUUUCACAACCAGUAGGAUACAGAAAAUGCUUUUCAAGAGUUUCUUGAAUCCUGAAGCAUGAAUUUUUACACUACUGGAUUAAACAAACUUAUUUCUCUUUGACAAAAAUGUGUUGGUUUUAAUGGUUCCCAUUUUGAUUAAUAAAGAUAUGUUUGAGUCUAGUUAUGAUUUAAAAUUCACAGUCGAAACCGCAGUUACUUUUGCACCAACCUAGAAAUACAUGUAUAUGUGUGAAACAUGCCAGAUUUGCAAGGGAGGAGAUGUGUGACAGAUGUGAAGGGAUUUCUUGGGAGGUUUUAGGAAGCUUUUGGAAGCAGUUCUUAUCUUAGACAUGCAAGCAUGAGCCCCCUCUUUCGUGCAUUGUCAGCCCUGUUUUGUUAGGGUCUGACAAGAGUGAUUUCAUCCUGGUAUGUGCAAUUCUCACAGCUUGUAUAGAUAAAAUUUUGCAACUGUGCAAAUAUUUCUGCAGAGUAAACAUCUAGGAAUAGAAGAGGUAGUUCAAAAAGUAAACACGUGAAAUUCUAAUAGCUAUUGUCAGCAGCCCUCCUUAGUGCUGGUACUAAUUACACUUCUAAAAGCUGUGUGUGAUAGGAGCUGUUUUCUCUCAGCCUCCCCAGAAAUACUCUGUGUUUUUCAGUUUUCCUACUUGAUAAGUGAGCAGUGAUUUCUUAGUAUUGUUUUAAUUUGAAUUUGUUAUGAGAAAAGUUGAGCAUCUUUUCUCAUGGUUAAAAUGCUGUUAGGUUUUCUUUUUUGUUAACUGUUCUGCUGAUUUUUUUUUUUUUGUCUUUUUGUUUUUUUCCUUUUUGUGGAGAACGGGGUCUUGCUAUAUUGCCCAGGCAGGUCUCGAACUCCUGGGGCUCAACCUGUCCUCCCGAUUCUGCCUCCCUAAGAGCUGGGAUUACAGGUGUGAGCCACAGUACCCGGCAAUUAUUUAUAGUGUUUUCAUCAUAUAGGCUUAAUUUUUUGUUUUGUUUUUGAAUCAGGGUCUCAUUCUGUUGCCCAGGAUGGAGUGUAGUGGCACAAUCAUUGCUCAUUGUAACCGUCUCCCAGGCUCAAGUAAAUCCUCCCACCUCAGCCUCUCAAGCAGCUGGGAAUAUAGGUUUGUGCCACCAUGCCCAGCUAAUUUUUAUAUUUUUUGUUUGUAGUUAAUGGGGUUUUACCACAUUGCCCAGGCUAAUCUCGAAAUCCUGGGUUCAAGUGUUUUGCCUGUCUCAACCUCUCAAAGUGCUGGGAUUAUAGAUGUGAGCCACUGUUCCCAGCCAACAAUUUUUACAGCUUCUGGAUUUGUGUUAUACUGUUGGCCCUUUGUAUCUGUGAGUUCUGCAUCCAAACCAUGGAUUGAAAAGAUUCCAAAAAGUCAAACAAUAAAAAUGCAAAUUUUACAACAAUACAUUAAAAACUAUUUCAUAGUUCUUAUACCGUAUGAGGUAUUAGAAGCAAUGCUUAUAAGUAUAGAGAUAAUUCAAUGUUCACAGGUUAAUGCAAAUACUGCACCAUUUUAUAUAAGAGAUUUGAGCAUCCAUGGACUUCAGUAUCUGAGGGGAGGUCCUGGAACAACUGCCAUGUACACAGGGGAGCUACUGUAAUCAGGAAGGCUUUUCCCAUUUUCUGUGGUUUGAAUGUAUCUCUCAAAGUUCAUAUGUUGGAAACUUAAUCCCCAGUGCAAGUGUUGAGAGGUGGGACUUCCAAGAGGGUGAUCAGGUCAUGAUGACGCUGCCCUCAUGAAUGGAUUAAUGUUGUUAUUUUGGGAUGAGUUCCUGACAAAUAGAUGAGUUCAGCCUCCUUCUCCCUUACUCUCAUGUGUGCUCUUGUGCCCUUCUGUCCUUCCACCAUGGGAUGGUAGAAUAAAAAGUUCCUAGCCAGAUACCACCCGGUGAACUUGGAUUUCCAAGCCUCCAGAAGCAUGAGCCAAAUACAUUUGUUUGUUAUCACUCAGUCUCAACUGGGUGCAGUGGCUCAUGCCUGUAAUCCCAACACUUUGGGAGGCCGAGGCGGAUGAAUCACCUCAGGUCAGGGGUUUGAGACCAGCUUGACCAAUAUGGUGAAACCAUUGUCUCUACUAAAAAUACAAAAAGUAGCUCAGUGUGGUGGUGUGCUCCUGCAGCCCCAGCUACUCAGGAGAAUUGCUUGUACCUGUAUGGAGGGGAGAUUACAGUGAGUUGAGAUGGUGCCACUGCACUCUAGCCAUCUCUACAAAAAAUACAAAAAUAGCCAGGUGUCCGUAUGUGCCUGUAAUCCCAACUACUUGGGAGGCUGAGGCAGGAGAAUCGCUUGAGCCCAGAGGGUCGAGGUUCAGUGAGCCAAGAGAGCGCCACUUCACUGCAGCCUGGGCAACAGAGAAGAUCUGUCUCUAUAAAAAGAAAAGGUAAAUGUGUUUUUCAUGAGAUAAACUUCCAACCUGUUUUUCAAAAUAGAUAUUAAUUACAGUGUAAUUAACCGCUAGCAAUAGAUGAGUAUUCCAGUCGUUUCACCUCCCAGCACUUUGGGAGGCCCAGGAGGGUGGAUUGCUUGAGUUCAAGAGUUGCCUAGCCUGAGCAACAUAGAGAGACCUCAUCUCUAUUCUUUAAAAAAUUAAAAAGAAAAAAGUUACUUAUCGGCCAUUUACAUAUAUUCUCUUGUGAAGUGUUUGUUUAAAUCUUUUGUCCAUUUUGUUAUUGAGUUGUCUUAUUGGUAAAUUGUAGUAGUUCUUUAUGUAUGAAAGACACAGGGCCUUUGUUGGAUACAUGUUUUGCAAACUUCUGUUUUAUUUUCUGAAGAGGGUCCUUCGAAGAGCAAAAGAUUUUUAUUUUAAUAAAAUUUAUUUUAUUAAUAUUUUUGUUUCAUGCCUCUGUCUUAAUAAGAAACUUUUUCCUAACCUAAUAUCACAAAUAUAUCCUGCUAUUUUUUUCUGACUUACGAUUUUAGCAUUUAUGUCUGUGUCCCAUUUUGAGUUAAUUUAAGAUAAGGGUUCAGACUCAUUUUUUUCUCCCCAGUAUGGAAAUUAUUCCAGUGCUGUUUGUUGAAAACAGUAUCCUGUCAUUCACUUAAUUACUGUGGUGCUUUAAUAAAGAUCAGUUAACUAUGCAUAUGUGGGUCUACCUCUGGACUGUUCUCUGUCCCACUGGUUGGUGUGCCUUUCCUUAUCCCCAUACCACACUCUCUUGAUUACUGCAGUGUUAUAGUCUGUCUUCAUAUUGGGUAGUUUAAGUCCUCUAACUUUGUCUUUUUAAAACUGUUCAGCUGUUUUAGAUCCUUUUUAUUUUCAUGACAAGUUUGUAAUUACUUGUCAA